GAGGUGGCGAAUUGAGUAGCAGACUAGCAGUGAUGAGUUUAGUUCCGAUAUUAAAGAAGUUGAGUUUCGAGAAUGGAUAUGUAGGCCUACCACUAUCUUUUUUUAUGUUCGUUACUGUUCAUUUCUGAUGUGGAAACAUCUUCAUCCGGAUGUCCGACGUACCGGCCCUACUGUUUAUGUAUACACACACACUACAAAAAUUCUAUCCAACCUAUGUUGAAAUCACUCCCAUAAUUUCGAUCAAAAAAGCAGUGAUGAAACGUUAAUAGCUACCAGUUGUAGGUUUGUGGGAAGUAGAGAUACUAGAGAACACCGUAUGUUAGUUUCCGCAGCCUUCGCCAUUACAUCGCGUAUUAAACGCCUUUUAACAUGAGGAAGCUUUCUAAGCGUAAUACAUAAAUACUUGAGUUUUCUUUAGAAUUAAGAACGCAGUAAGUAUUCUAAGUUAUGUCGGUAAUUUGAAUAUUGUUGAUGAAAGUCUGUAUUCAUUAUAAAUUCUCGUUCAAAGCUUCAAAUAUUCAAGUAAUUGGUCGAAACAUCGUCCACACUAUAGUUGUCUAGUAUGGAUGAUACGAGUGUUAGAUACGAACUUCAAUAAUGAAUUCUUAAAUGCUUAAAAUUAAAAAAAAAAAAAAAAAUCUUCAUUGAAUGGAGUGAUAUACCACGAACUAAAAAUAAAGUAAUUGUGACCAGUGAAUGAAUACCACUGUUAGAACGCCGGAGAGUGGUUUCUGGGAUCUUCAUUGCUGACUCGGCGCGGAUAAUCAUCACGUUGGAGUCGGUUAUCUGUAUUCAAU